AGUGAACGCUGGCGGUAGGCCUAACACAUGCAAGUCGAACGGCAGCACAGAGGAGCUUGCUCCUUGGGUGGCGAGUGGCGGACGGGUGAGGAAUACAUCGGAAUCUACUCUGUCGUGGGGGAUAACGUAGGGAAACUUACGCUAAUACCGCAUACGACCUACGGGUGAAAGCAGGGGAUCUUCGGACCUUGCGCGAUUGAAUGAGCCGAUGUCGGAUUAGCUAGUUGGCGGGGUAAAGGCCCACCAAGGCGACGAUCCGUAGCUGGUCUGAGAGGAUGAUCAGCCACACUGGAACUGAGACACGGUCCAGACUCCUACGGGAGGCAGCAGUGGGGAAUAUUGGACAGUGGGCGCAAGCCUGAUCCAGCCAUACCGCGUGGGUGAAGAAGGCCUUCGGGUUGUAAAGCCCUUUUGUUGGGAAAGAAAUCCAUCUGGUUAAUACCCGGAUAGGAUGACGGUACCCAAAGAAUAAGCACCGGCUAACUUCGUGCCAGCCGCCGCAGUAA
rnacentral:rRNA from 1 species